AUACGAAGGGGCCAAGCGUUGUUCGGAAUAACUGGGCGUAAAGCGCACGUAGGCGGAAUGUUAAGUUAGAGGUGAAAUCCCAGGGCUCAACCCUGGAACGGCCUUUAAUACUGGCAAUCUAGAGACCGAGAGAGGUGAGUGGAAUUCCGAGUGUAGAGGUGAAAUUCGUAGAUAUUCGGAGGAACACCAGUGGCGAAGGCGGCUCACUGGCUCGGUACUGACGCUGAGGUGCGAAAGCGUGGGGAGCAAACAGGAUUAGAUACCCUAGUAGUCC
rnacentral:rRNA from 1 species